CGACAAUUCUGGAGCUCCCUCGCCGAGUUGCGGUCGGUCCAUGCGGCAUCCCCACCGGAUGGUACUCUAUCUAACCAUGAAGUUGGGCGGUGGCUAUGGAACUGGCUGGGUGACGCUCGGGACGAGGAGAAAGAGAUGGCCAUGCAGGGUUUAUAUGGACUUUGGCUUGCGCGAAAUGAGGCUCGCGAUGGGGUGCGGAUCAAGAAUCCAUCGGCUGUGGCUGAGAAGGUAUCCGGCCUUAUGGAUGAAUGGACUGAAACGGUGUUGAAGAAGGUGCGGGUUGAGGCUAAACCCCCGCCUGAGAAGUGGCAACCU
rnacentral:rRNA from 1 species